AGCUUUGCACAGUGGCACUACCACAGCCAAUGAGGUUCAUCUGAGACAUGAUUGUUGCUAGUUGAAAAAUACCAGAAAUACUUACGUAACUACUUUAGAUGUGUUCCAUUUUAUGGUUAAGUCACAUCAGCAACU
ensembl:snRNA U4 U4 spliceosomal RNA